rnacentral:rRNA from 1 species
CAAUCUGCCCUGCACUCUGGGACAAGCCCUGGAAACGGGGUCUAAUACCGGAUACUGACCCGCUUGGGCAUCCAAGCGGUUCGAAAGCUCCGGCGGUGCAGGAUGAGCCCGCGGCCUAUCAGCUUGUUGGUGAGGUAAUGGCUCACCAAGGCGACGACGGGUAGCCGGCCUGAGAGGGCGACCGGCCACACUGGGACUGAGACACGGCCCAGACUCCUACGGGAGGCAGCAGUGGGGAAUAUUGCACAAUGGGCGAAAGCCUGAUGCAGCGACGCCGCGUGAGGGAUGACGGCCUUCGGGUUGUAAACCUCUUUCAGCAGGGAAGAAGCGAAAGUGACGGUACCUGCAGAAGAAGCGCCGGCUAACUACGUGCCAGCAGCCGCGGUAAUACGUAGGGCGCGAGCGUUGUCCGGAAUUAUUGGGCGUAAAGAGCUCGUAGGCGGCUUGUCACGUCGGUUGUGAAAGCCCGGGGCUUAACCCCGGGUCUGCAGUCGAUACGGGCAGGCUAGAGUUCGGUAGGGGAGAUCGGAAUUCCUGGUGUAGCGGUGAAAUGCGCAGAUAUCAGGAGGAACACCGGUGGCGAAGGCGGAUCUCUGGGCCGAUACUGACGCUGAGGAGCGAAAGCGUGGGGAGCGAACAG